GAUGAACGCUGGCGGCGUGCAUAACACAUUCAAGUCGAACGGAGUAAAGGAGAGCUUGCUCGAAUUUACUUAGUGGCGAACGGGUGAGUAACGCGUGAGGAACCUGCCUUUCAGUGGGGGACAACAGUUGGAAACGACUGCUAAUACCGCAUGAUACUAUCGGGCCGCAUGGUCUGAUAGUCAAAGAUUUAUUGCUGAAAGAUGGUCUCGCGUCUGAUUAGCUAGUUGGUGAGGUAACGGCUCACCAAGGCGACGAUCAGUAGCCGGUCUGAGAGGAUGAACGGCCACAUUGGGACUGAGAUACGGCCCAGACUCCUACGGGAGGCAGCAGUGGGGAAUAUUGGGCAAUGGGCGAAAGCCUGACCCAGCAACGCCGCGUGAAGGAAGAAGGCCUUCGGGUUGUAAACUUCUUUUACCAGGACGAAGAACGUGACGGUACCUGGAGAAAAAGCAACGGNUAACUACGUG
rnacentral:rRNA from 1 species